AUGCGGAGGUUCAAUCCCUUUGGGGGGAAAGUACAGACUGGAUUGGAAGGCCGCACCAUUGAUGUAAGGAAUGUGAAGAUAACAGUACGCAAUGCCAUUGCACAAGGAGGUUUCUCUUGUGUGUAUCUCGCAUGUGACGCGUUGCACUCAUCAAAGCAGUAUGCAUUGAAGCAUAUCAUUUGCAAUGACUCGGAAUCGCUCGAUCUUGUCAUGAAGGAGAUCCAGGUGAUGAAUCUCCUCAAAGGGCAUGCCAAUGUCGUCACACUGGUUGCACAUGAUGUUUUUGACAUGGGCCGCACAAAGGAGGCAUUGCUUGUGAUGGAGUUUUGCGAGAAGUCCUUGGUGAGUGCGAUGGAGAGCAGAGGUACUGGUUACUAUGAGGAAAAGAAGGCGCUUUUGAUAUUCAGAGAUGUCUGCAACGCGGUUUUUGCUAUGCAUGGGCAGUCACCACCAAUUGCGCAUAGGGAUCUUAAAGCCGAAAAUGUACUUCUUGGAUUAGAUGGUGCAUGGAAACUAUGUGACUUUGGAAGCACGUCAACAAAUCAUAAAUGCUUUGACAAGCCAGAAGAUAGGGGGAUUGAGGAAGAUAUCAUUAGGAAGCAUACGACCCCGGCAUAUAGAGCACCUGAGAUGUGGGAUCUCUACAGAAGAGAAGUUAUUAGUGAGAAAGUUGAUAUUUGGGCCCUGGGAUGUCUUCUCUAUAGAAUAUGCUACUUCAAAUCCGCGUUUGAUGGAGAGUCGAAGCUGCAAGUCCUUAAUGGCAAUUAUCGCAUUCCAGAACAACCUAAGUACAGCACCAGUGUCACAGGGCUGAUCAAAGAUAUGCUGGAAGCAUCUCCAAAUGCCAGACCAGAUAUCACACAGGUCUGGUUUCGUGUUAACGAACUACUGCCUCUUGAGUUACAGAAGAGUUUACCUGAUGGGGCUUCAGCGGCAAUUUCUAUGGGCUUGCAGGACGAUGGUGCUUAUAAAAGAACACAUGUGAUGCCUAAAAGGAACCCUCCUGCACCUCCAAGAGAACAAUCUGAUAACUCAUCAUCUCAUGGAAGUGCAAACGCCGGAGAUGCACCUCUAGGUGCAUUUUGGGUGACCCAACAUGCACAGGGUUCUCAAGUUGCUGAUAAUAGGAAUCCCUUGUUUGACGAGGAGCCAAUUAAACCAUCACCUUCAUCAAAGUAUAACCAAAGUAGGGUGGAUAUCAGCACCACUACCCCUGGAGAUAGGCAUGGUCAUUCUGGUCAGGCUUUGCGAAAUACAACAAGUAACACUGUAUCCAGUAAUGGACUUAAGGGUGGUUCGGACAUAAAUCUUUUCAUGGAACCACAAGGUUAUGUGAAAAAUAAAGCAUCACAGCCACAAAGCAAGACUAUAUCUGGGAACGACCCCUUCAACAGUUUUGUCACAGAUUUUGAUGCAAACAAUCUGCACUCAGGGACUACUGCUACUGGUAAGACAUCUGAGCUUGAAGCUGAAGUGUCCAAUCUGAAGGAGCAGUUGAAGAAAACCACGUCGGAGAAGGCUGAGAUGACAGCCAAGUAUGAAAAGCUGUCGGCAAUCUGCCGCUCCCAGCGCCAAGAAAUUCAAGAGUUGAAGCGCACUGUUGCUGAGACUACACCACCGCCUUCAAGUAAAGUCAGCUCAAGGAUGCCAGAACUUGGAUCCCAGCGGAAGGAGAGGAUUGAAGGAACGGUGUGGGAACUUGAGCAAGGAAUGCUCUCAGGCAACUCCUCGGCACCCAGCUCUGAGGCCAAGACAUGGCAGUCAUUCCCUGAGGCAAAAGCUCAGACCAGGCCAAAGGUUGACCAUGCAACCAAUGGGAGGCAAAACCUAACACGGAACACGAAUGCAGGGCCUUCCCCUGAUGCGUGGGGUUUCGGCACAUCAUCGGGUAGCAAUGCGACAGCAACACAGAUGAACAGAACGAAUGCCCAGGGGAGUUCCUCCCAGAGAUUGAGCAUGGGGGCAGCGAAGAAAGUAGAUCAGCCAUCAGGAUGGGCCGGAUUCUAG
rnacentral:rRNA from 1 species